rnacentral:rRNA from 1 species
CCCUUAGAUGUCCUGGGCCGCACGCGCGUUACACUGAUGCAUUCAACGAGCUUAUAACCUUGGCCGAGAGGCCUGGGCAAUCUUGUUAACGUGCAUCGUGAUAGGGAUAGAUUAUUGAAAUUAUUAAUCUUGAACGAGGAAUUCCUAGUAAACGCAGAUCAUCAAUCUGCAUUGAUUACGUCCCUGCCCUUUGUACACACCGCCCGUCGCACCAACCGAUUGGAUGGUCCGGUGAAGCCUCGGGAUUGUGGUUCUUGCCGCUUUAUUGUGGCGUGACCGCGAGAACUUGUCUAAACCUUAUCAUCUAGAGGAAGGUGAAGUCGUAACA